CCGCUGUGAAAUUUAACCGUUGAAACGCCGUUAACUUCCACGGUCCAACUUCGCCGUUAGCGUCAUUACCGUUAAAUCGACGGUUAUAGUUUGUUUGAAAACACCGUGUUCCGGCGACGAGGACGAAGAGUCCGAUCCCAAACGCGGCGGCGAUGAUCCAAACAAUUGCGCCGGCGGUUUUCUUCGGUUGUUGACGGUGAACUUGGAGUUCGUUUUCGCCGGAGGUGACUGCUUCAUCGGCGCAGGGUUUGGCUAAGAGAACACCACAGAGAUUUUCAUUGCCGGAGUAGGAAGAAGGAUGGAGGCUUUGGAAGACGCCGGAGGAAGGGAUUGCUCCGGUAAGGGAAUUGAAACUGAUGUUGAAAUUUUCGAGAGUUGAGCAAUUGUUGAAGCUUGAUGGAAUUGUUCCAGUGAGUGAGUUUUGCGAGAGAUCAACGUCGGUGAUUGAAGGAAGAGUUGAGAUUUCGUAAGGAAUGAUUCCGGUGAGGUUGUUUUUGCUUAGGUUUAACUGAAGCAGUUUUUCGCAAUCACCAAUGUUCCAUGGAAUUGUGCCGGUGAUUGAAUUUCCUUGUAAUUCGAUCUUGUAGAUCGAUUUGCAAUCAGAAAAAUCGGGAAUUUGACCGGUGAUUUUCGAGAAUGAAGCUGAGAAAAUCUGAAGAUUACUUGAAUUCCAAAUGCUGUUAGGUAAUUCGCUUUCAAAAGAGUUUCCUGAGAUGUUUAGAUAUUGUAGGCUCCCAAAUUCUUGAGGAAUUUCCCCUUUGAAAUUGUUGUUGCUUAAAUCAAGGUAGGUUAAAUUUGGAAGCAUUGUAAGUGUUUGUGGAAUUGACCCAUUGAGAUUGUUGUUUUGGAUACGAACUCGAAUGAGUGAGGUGCAAUUUGUGAGUGAUGAUGGAAGGUUAUUGGUGAAUUUGUUGUUGAAGAUAUUGAAUUUUACAAGAUUGUUUCCUUUGCAAAUGUUGAUAGGGAUUGAACCUUGGAGCGAGUUUGUGGAAACAUCGAGUAAUUGUAGUAACCCGUUAGAACCGAGUUUUGGUGGUAAUGCACCGGUGAAUGAGUUGUUGAAAAUAUGGAAAGUGUUGAGUUUUGGAAGGUCACCAAUUUCUUGUGGAAUUUCACCUUUUAGCUUGUUAUACAUGAGCCUCAAAUCUACUAUCUCCUUCAACAUUGUUAUUUCUGAUGGAAUCGAACCAGUGAGUUCAUUUUCCGAUAAAUCAAGAGCUUGCAAUGAUUUCAACUUUCCUAUGCUUGAUGGGAUUUCACCAUGUAAAUGAUUUUUGAAGAGAAGCAGUGUUUCAAGCAUGGAUAAGUUACCUAGUUCAGGAAUCACUUGACCAGAAAUGUUGGCACCUGAGAUAUCCAAGUACUUGAGAUUAGACAACAUUGUUAAUUCCACUGGUAUUGCUCCUGAGUAGGAGUUGUAUCCGAUUUCCAAGCGUUGUAACUCUGAUAAUAAGCCUAGUUGAGGUGGUAGUGAACCUUCCAAUGCAUUACCAGCCAAAUAAAGAAAUUUGAGUCUUUUGAAAGUUCCAUAACUUUGAGGGAUUUUGCCACUGAAGUAGCUUCCACCGAGGUUAAGGUGUUCUAAAAAAGGUAGCCUGAUAAAUUCUUCGGGGAGAGGGCCUACGAAACUGUUACUGUAAGCAUUGAAGACUCUUAAGAAUCUAAGCUUUGAAAUUCCAGGUGGGAAAGUUGAGUUGAAUGAGUUAUGGCUGAUGUCCAGUGUUCUAAGCUCAUUGAGUUGAAAAAUUGCUGUUUGGAAAGUUCCAUUGAAGUCAUUUCCACUAAUGUUCAAGUGAGUUAACGUAGUUAAGUAGCGGAUUUUGGGCGAGAUUAUGCCUGAAAGGUUGAGGUUAGAGAGAUUAAGGGAAGUAAUUUGAGCUGUUUUUGGGUGGCAAUUGAUUCCUGUCCAAGAACACCAAAUUGGGUCUUGCUGGUUAUUGGAAUCAGAAGGGUUAUUUUUCCAAUCAUUGAGAUGAUUUAGAGGGUCAAUGAGGGAGGAUUUUAUUGAGAGGAGGCUUAUGAGUUGAAAGGGAAUAGUUGUUGUGGCAGAGGAAACUAGUGGUAGCAACUGUGUUUGGGAAAAGAAUAAGAAUGUGAUGAGAAAGAAAAGAAAAGGUUUCAUUGUUUUGGAAUUGUGGGGAUUGUGAAUGAGAAGGUUGUGUUCAAUGAGGUAAAUUUAAGGGUAAGAAGAUUUUGAUGAGGAAUGUAUUCACUUUUUUGGAGUGCUUGCUGCAGAGGGAGUUUCAUCAUGAUAAUUUGCUUAGGUGGUAGACAUGAAUGAAUUAGAGAGAGAGAGAGAGAGAUAUAGAGAGAGAGAAUGAGAAAAACUAUAGUUAUAGUACUUCACCUUCUAUAUACCCUAUAUGGUUCCAUCAAUCUAUACAUUCUCUUACUUUUUUCUUACAUCAGUAUAAUACCUUUGUCUGAUAUAUCUCUAUUCCAUUCAUACUUUUAAAUUU
rnacentral:lncRNA from 1 species